UUGAACGCUGGCGGAAUGCUUUACACAUGCAAGUCGAGCGGCAGCGCGGGGCAACCUGGCGGCGAGCGGCGAACGGGUGAGUAAUAUAUCGGAACGUACCCUGUCGUGGGGGAUAACACAUCGAAAGAUGUGCUAAUACCGCAUACGACCUGAGGGUGAAAGCGGGGGAUCGCAAGACCUCGCGCGAUAGGAGCGGCCGAUAUCGGAUUAGCUAGUUGGUGAGGUAAAGGCUCACCAAGGCGACGAUCCGUAGCUGGUCUGAGAGGACGACCAGCCACACUGGAACUGAGACACGGUCCAGACUCCUACGGGAGGCAGCAGUGGGGAAUUUUGGACAAUGGGGGGAACCCUGAUCCAGCCAUUCCGCGUGAGUGAAGAAGGCCUUUGGGUCGUAAAGCUCUGUCCUUGGGGAAGAAAAAAAUGACGGUACCCUUGGAGGAAGCCCCGGCUAACUACGU
rnacentral:rRNA from 1 species